AGCUCUGCCAGGCAACGCUGCUCAAGUGUCCCUGUGAAAUCAACGGAAGGCUUCACUGGGGCUGGAGUUACCCACUUCCUCCUCUCUCCAUUUUGACUUCCUCCUUCUACAGGCAGCUAUCUUCGAUCCCAUCCUAGUAAACCUACAUAUCUGUUUGCAUCACAAAAUGUGCUUCCUGAGAAACCUGAGCUGCAAAGCUUAGACUGCCUCUCUGAAGCUCGUCUGGCUGGCUUCUCAGAAGACACGAGAAUCUGGGACACCCGGGAAGUUUUCGUGAGCUCAGUCCAGGCUCUUUCCAGGGUUCUCUAGUCCUGGUGGCCAGUAAGCAGCUGCUCAUCUGAAAAGGCGCUUCCCUCCUCAGUGUUCCACUAGCCUCAUAGGCGGAAAAAGAAUUUUUUUUUUACCUUCCAGGAUUACAUCCACCCUAUGAACCUACUGCCAGAGAGCUUGUUUUCCAACAGCAUCUCAUGGGACGUUGUGCUAAUCCCUUAUGCUGAUGAUGUAAGGCGUACGCUCAGGUGGUGGUAAGCGGAUAAGAGAGGGAUGAUAUUGACCAACGGCUGCUCCUCCUGGUCACAUGCGACGUUUCCUGCCAUACUGUUGGGCUGCCAGACUGAAUUUUAGGUUGAACUCUACGUGUCUUUGUGUCUGUGUAUAACUGGAGGAGGCUGAAGGAGGGCACUGGAUCCCUGAAGCUGAAGUUACACUCGGUUAAGAGCCACGUGACACGGAUCUGGGAACAGAACACGGACUCUGUAAGGGCAGCGUGUGCUCUCUCCAGCACCAUAAGACCAUGAGUCUAUUAAAAGGCUCGGUUUCCGUA